rnacentral:lncRNA from 1 species
AGCUGAAAACUGUUCUAAGUCUCACUGGAUUAAGUGCUCUUUCUUUGUGUUUCCAUUUUAUCAUUACAGUUAUUAUAGAACUAUAACUUUUCUUUAUCUUUAUGCUCCACUGGACCAUGAUCAGUUGACAGCAGAGACAAUUUAUACACAUUUUUGAUCUUCAAUGUUUAGACUGUUGAUUGGCAAAUGAUACAAUUUUGGCUUUUAGAAAGAGGUAUAUCAAUAAAUACACUGGUAAGACAUUUAUUCAAGCUACAAUAUAUUUACUUAAGAAUACUAUCAUGUAGCUCAAAUCUUAAUUCUUUAUUCAAAAAAGAUACCAUAACAAAUUUGGUUAGAUUAUCUAUUACACAAAGGAAAAUGCAUACUGAUUAUAACAUCCCUUCUUGUGCCACAAUAGAAAUGUCAUUGAGAGGGGAAAUUAUGUGUCUUGAUUUCCUUCUACAUCCUGAUGAUUUGUUUUGUUUUUUGUUUUGUUUUGUUUUGUUUUGUUUUUUAUACAUUAGGAGAGAUUUUUUUUUUUCCCACUGUACAGCAAGGGGGUCAGGUUAUCCUUACAUGUAUACAUUACAAUUACAGUUUUUCCCCCACCCUUUCUUCUGUUGCAACAGGCGUAUCUAGACAUAGUUCUCAAUGCUAUUCAGCAGGAUCUCCUUGUAAAUCUAUUCCAGGUUGUGUCUGAUAAGCCCAAGUUCCCGCUCCCUCCCACUCCCUCCCCCUCCCAUCAGGCAACCACAAGUCUCUUCUCCAAGUCCAUGAUUUUCUCUUCUGAGGAGAUGUUCAUUUGUGCUGGAUAUUAGAUUCCAGUUAUAAGUGAUAUCAUAUGGUAUUUGUCUUUGUCUUUCUGGCUCAUUUCACUCAGUAUGAGAUUCUCUAGUUCCAUCCAUGUUGCUGCAAAUGGCAUGAUGUCUUCCUUUUUUAUGGCUGAGUAGUAUUCCAUUGUGUAUAUAUACCACUUCUUCCGAAUCCAAUCAUCUGUCGAUGGACAUUUGGAUUGUUUCCAUGUCCUGGCUAUUGUGAAUAGUGCUGCAAUGAACAUGUGGGUGCAUGUGUCUCUUUUAAGUAGAGUUUUGUCCGGAUAGAUGCCCAAGAGUGGGAUUGCAGGGUCAUAUGGAAGUUCUAUGUAUAGAUUUCUAAGGUAUCUCCAAACUGUUCUCCAUAGUGGCUGUACCAGUUUACAUUCCCACCAGCAGUGCAGGAGGGUUCCCUUUUCUCCACAGCCCCUCUAGCACUUGUUAUUUGUGGAUUUAUUAAUGAUGGCCAUUCUGACUGGUGUGAGGUGGUAUCUCAUGGUAGUUUUGAUUUGCAUUUCUCUUAUAAUCAGCGAUGUUGAGCAUUUUUUCAUGUGUUUGUUGGCCAUCUGUGUAUCUUCUUUGGAGAAAUGUCUAUUCAGGUCUUUUGCCCAUUUUUCCAUUGAUUGAAUAUAAUCCUCAAUGGGGAAAAACUGAAAGCCUUCUCACUCAAAUCUGGAACAAGACAGGGAUGCCCACUCUCACCACUGCUCUUCAACAUAGUUUUGGAAGUCUUAGCCACAGCAAUUAGACAAACAAAAGAAAUAAAAGGCAUCCAUAUAGGAAGAGAAGAGAUCAAACUGUCACUGUAUGCAGAUGACAUGACACUGUACCUAGAAAACCCUAAGGACUCAACCCCAAAACUCCUUGAACUGAUGAUUUGUUGACAUGAAGCCACAUGGUUAGUUCUCCUCUUCCCUUCUAAUGGAGAUGACUUAAUAACAAUAGAGAUUUGCUACUGGGGGCCUUUCCUCAUCAUAUGGAAAUAUGUACCAAACAUUCCAAACAACAAUCUUGUCUUUUACAUCUUUGGUCUUUAUUGUUUCUCCUCUCUUUACCAAAACCUAUUCAUGUAGUUAUUAAAGCUUGUGAUGCUAUCAAUUCUUUCCUAUUAAUCAGUAUUAGUUCUUACUGCUUCCCUGCAUGAUUUCCAGUAGCAUUUUUUCCUAUACUGUUCACUUUGUCAUUUAAUUCUUUCUCUAACUGAUUACAAGUGUCUUGUGGUAUAUUUCCAAAUAUAAUAUAAACUGGCAUGUAAACAAAUGGAUAACAUCUCAGCGUGAGUUUUCCCAAAUAAUAUAUAGCCUGAGACAAGGGAUUGUAUUCAGGUAGUUUAUUUUGGAAAGUAAUUCCAAGGACAAAAUCGAGGGGCUUGGAAACAUGAAACCAGGAAAGAUUGUCAGUUCAAGGCUAAAUGAUCACUGCUGUGGACAACAGAAGACCAGGUCCACUGGGGUCUCUCUGAAGAGUCUUGAAAAGUAGUCCUUAGAAUCCUUCACCUUAGUCAUUGAAUCAGGGUAUACUUAUCCAUUGACCUCCCCUUCCUUUUUGACCAGAGGUUUGCCCAGACUUCCUGGUUUUUCUUAACUCAGAAUAGUGAAUGAAUCCCUGCAGGCACCUAUAUGUGGACUGUAGACAGUUCUCAAGGCAAAAGGUUAUAAAUAUGUGAUGCAGCUAAGGCAUAGUAUUUUAGGUUGCACCUGCAUAGUGGUGGCUACACAAAGACUAGAGUUAAAAGGUGAGUGAGGGAAGGUGAGAAGGGCAUAGGAUGUCUCAUGCAGGCUAUAAAAGCAGCAUCUCUGGUUUUUGAUGGGUAAACACAUAAGAAGCUGGUCAGUCUCUGUAGGACAAGAAAAGGGACAGGAAAAGGAUUGGAAAUGGGGCGAUCAUAGAGUUGCACAAAAUAUUGGCUUCAACCUCAAUGAAUUACUAUAGUAAAGAAUGAAAUGCUUUGACAAAGUCAAUUAAUACAAAGGAGAGAUCUUUCUAUUUCCCUUCUUCGGCAUCUUACUUACAGGAAUAAUUUCAUUCUGGCUCUGCUUAAUGAAUUUUAUGACCCUGGGCAAGAGAAUACCUUGGCUGGAUUCCAAUUUAUUCAUUUAUGAAAUGAGCUGAUCACUGGGUUUCACUGCAGCUCUAACAUUAUGAUUCUAUGAAUCUAUAUCCACAUAGUACACUAGAGCCUAAAAUCCUACUAUCCUUCCAGAAAUAUGCAUGUCCAUAUUACUAGGUAUUGCUUUCUUGCUAGAUUCUCUGCUAGAAUUUUUUCAAGGCUGGGAGUUUCCACUAGGCUUCAUUUUGGUUUUUCUUGUUCUGUAUGCUGAUAUUAAUGAUACGUGAAUUGCUUUGGAAUUUCCUAAAUAUUUAUAUCAGAAGAAAAGUCCAUAAAGAAUGGAGCCGUGAAGAAAAAAGUUUAUAUUGAUUACAUGAAAAAUCUUAGAACACAUGCCUUUGGAAAUGGUGACUUGCAACUGCACACUAAAUGGUAACUUUCAAAAGUGUUUCCACUAAGAUGACCAAAAUUUUGAACUCCUUCCCAUGGCCUCUAGACUAUACGUAAUCUGACAGACUCUGUUUCCUUAUCUCCUUCUGUGCUCCACUCCCUCUCCCAGCUCUAGCAACACUGGCUUGCUUUCUGCUUCUUGACAGCUUAGCUCAUCUUUGCCUUAGGGUCUUACUGUUUGUGUUCUUCCUGCCUGGACCGCUCUGCUCACAUGUCUUCUCCUUCUCAUGCAUCUCUCAGAGCAAAUGUCACAUCCUCAGAGAAGCCUGUUCCACUCAUCCAGUUUAAAUUUACUCCAGUCACUCUGUAUUCCAUUGUUUUAUUUUUCUUCCCCAGAUUAUCACCAUCAUAUUUUUGUUAUAUAGUUUAUGUUUAGUUAUAUAUUUAUUUAUUGUCUAUCUCUAAUCAAAGGUAAGCUUCCUCCUUCAAUUGAAUCCCCGGUUCCUAGGAAAAUAUCUGGAACAUAAUCAAUUCAGGAUAAAUAUUUGUUGGCCAAACAAAUGAUUGCUGAGCAGACCAUGGUCAACAGUCAAACAAAAGAAAACAAACAUUCAACUUGAAACUAGAAUUCUUAAGCUGUUUCUGAUAUCCCAAGGGGGAAGAGGGAGGAAAUGGGAUAGACUGAGAGUAAGGGGUUGGUAGAUGCAAACUAUUACAAUUAUAAUAGAUAAGCAAUGGAGUCCUGCUGUACAACACAGGGAUCUCUGUUGGGAUAGACUAUGAUGGAGAAUGAUAUGAGAAAAAGAAUGUAUAUACAUUUAUGAUUGGGUCACUGUGCUGUACACCAAAAAUUGACACAACACUGUAAACCAACUAAAAUUUUAAAAUAUUGUAGAAUUAUGCAUGCAUUUUUUAUGCUCCAUACUUAUAUGGUUUGAAUCCCAAUUUCAUUAUAUACUAACUAGCCAUGACAACUUGUACAAUUUACGCUCUGCCCUAUGCCUUAGUUUCCUCAACUAUAAAAUAGUGAUAACAACAGUACCUACUUUAUACUUCAUGUCUAGAGUGCUUAGGAAGUGCUGCUAUGUAAGUGCUAUAAACUAUUUUUUUCAUUAUGUAUAAGCUUCUUUUUCUGGUAAUAACUGAUUAAUCCAAACCAUCCAAACCAUCCUCCUAGGCAACACGCAAAUGCUUCAUCAUCUGGGAAAUCCUUCCUCACAUCCCUGUGUGCCUUUGCCUUCACUCACCAAAAUCCAGUGUCUCAAUUGACUUGAAAUAUGUGUUUAAAACAUUAGAUUAAAAUGAUUCCCUUUGUGAUUAUUCUUGGCCUUCAAAAAUACAAAAGAAGGCAUUCCCAUCAUGGCGCAGCGGAAACAAAUCCUACUAGGAACCAUGAGGUUGUGGGUUCGAUCCCUGGCCUCACUCAGUGGGUUAAGGAUCCAGCACUGCUGUGAGCUGUGGUGUAGGUCACAGACACGGCUCAGAUCUAGCGUUGCUGUGGCUGUGGUGUAAGCUGGCGGCUACAGCUCCAAUUUGACCCCUAGCCUGGGAACCUCCAGAUGCUGCAGUACAGCUCUCAAAAGUCAAAAAAGACAAAAAGAAAAGAAAAUAUCCCUAUCUACUUUUUCAAGUCAAUGGUCUUUCAUCAUAUAUUUUUUAAAAGUUCAUUUUAUUAUAUUAUAAUUUAUUUAUUAUAAUUUAAGAACAGAUACUGAAUGCAGUGAAAAAGAUCUGUAUACCCAACCCCAAAUGAUGUCCAUCUGCUGUUUUUCAAGAUUUGUAAUUUUAAAAGUGCAAUAAAUUCAAUAUCUUUCAGGAUGAUACUUAUAAUUUAAAAUAGUUUAUACCCAAAAUGAAGUGUUAAGCAAAAUAUUAUACACAAAUUAUAGUUUACAUCUAUUUUUCCAUUUAUAGUCGGAAGUGUUAAUUUCUUACUAAGAACUUCAUAUGCUACAUUUUCUAAUAUUAGAAAUAUAGAUGAAACUCCAAAGAUAUUCUCCUGAAAAGAGAAAUAUUUGGAAACUGAACAAACACAAUUCCUUUAUUUAUUUCCAGUCAGUCAUCUCUUCUAUUUCUUGAAAAACCUGAUCUAAAUCUUUAUCAUUAGCCCCAAGUCCCCAGGUAUACAACUGCAGGGACAUUCAUCUGCAGAUAAAAUAAACCAUCAGUUAUGAAACUUUUGAUUUCCCUCUGCCUCCAGUCAUAAAGAUGUCUGUAUUCACUUAGAUUUACUUCCUGUCCUUCUAUGGAAGAUCUAAGAAAAGUACCCCAUUUUCACGCCAACAGCUUUGUCCCCUUGGUUUGAUGGAGUAAGGAGUAUUACAUAUACCUGAUUUAGAUGUACUGGAAUAUGAAUCCCAGUUCUGUUAUUUAAUAAUCAUGGAACAAUUAGUUAUUAACAUUUUCUGAGUCUCUUUUUUCUCUACUGUAAAGUGGAGCUAAUAUAUGCUACCUUAUACAGUGGGGAUUAUAAAUAUUAUAAAUUAUAUAAUGUGUUAUAAGCAGCCAGCAGCAUACACCUACAGGACCUAAAAAAAGUUGGUACUCUUCCUCUGCUUCUUUUUCCUCUCUAGCUCAAAACUUGCCAGACUUCAGUUGUCUUAUCUCUUAGCUGCUGAAUGUGUGUGGAGGGUGCUGGGGGGCCUGGGGAAGGAACAAAUCCCCCUUCCUUUUGCCCAUCUCUAACUCUAAUUUUCUUAUUUUUAUCUUGUUCUUAUCAAAAUCACUCCAUUUCCUCCUUGAUUCUGAACAUAGAGACCCCUCCCUUAUUUGUUCUCUUCUCCCUCUCAUAGCCAAAUUUCUCAAAAAGUUUCUCCUGUUUCAUUUCCUCAGUUUCCCACACUUCCUUCUAGCUACUAUAAGCUGACACGAAUGCAAUCAUGUUAUUAAAACUUUUGUUUACAAGGUGAACAAGAAUCAGUUGCCAACGUUACCAUUUUCUUCAUGACCAUUCUGUUCCUUCCACCCCCUUGAAAGUCUCACCUUUUGGGUUUUGAUGACCUGGUACUAUUUUCUCCUUUCUCUUAGUCUCCUUGGUCAUCUUCAUUUAGCCGCCCUGCCUCUAGCUCCCACUUACUUACAUGUAAGUUCCAGCAGCGCCUUCUUUGUCUCAUGUGUGUCUAUCUGUUCUAAUAGAGCAAUAGUAGAAGUUCCCACCACAUGAAUACUUUUCACUCUGUUGCUGUCUCCCAGAUUAAACUCUCUAGCCAAGCAUAUCAAUUGGUGUAAAAUGCAUUUCAGCCUGAAUAUCCUGCAUGACAUUCAAAUGAACAUCUAGAAUCAUCAUCUUUCUUAUAUACUCAAAUCUGUUGCUAAUGCUUUUCUAUAUGUUGCUGACUGGAUAAAGAGCUUCCAAAUGUCCAAACUAGAGGCAAGUGAAACUUUCCAGAUUUCUCUGUCCUUUAUCACCCUGUCCAAAUGUCCACACAGUGAAUUCUACAUCAUAAAUACCAUUCCCUCUGUUCUUUCUAUUUUUUUCCCACUGCUUAAAUUUCAUGCCUCAGUAUUUUUAACCUACACUAUUAUCAUAUUUCCCAAUUGAUCUCCUCAAUCAUAAUUACUCCUUUUUAUAUAUCAUUGUCCAAAAUGCCACCAAAUUUGUCAACAUUCUAAAAAAAGUUUUUUAACUCUAUAAACUUUAAUAAGUUCAGCAGCAGCCUAAUUAUAUAUUUAAUUACAGCCCUAGAGAAUGGGAGAGGAUGGAAAAAAUACUUGAGAUAGUCGGUAACUCCUUCAUAAGAAGCUCAAAGUUUUGAAUACUUCCAAGAAUCUUAAUGUCUUCCUAACUUCCUUUCC